rnacentral:rRNA from 1 species
UACGUAGGGUGCGAGCGUUAAUCGGAAUUACUGGGCGUAAAGCGUGCGCAGGCGGUUCGUUGUGUCGGUGGUGAAAGCCCCGGGCUCAACCUGGGAAUGGCCAUGGAAACUGGCGAACUGGAGUGUGGCAGAGGGGGGUGGAAUUCCGCGUGUAGCAGUGGAAAUGCGUAGAGAUGCGGAGGAACACCGAUGGCGAAGGGCAGCC